rnacentral:rRNA from 1 species
GCGUGCUAUACAUGCAAGUCGAGCGGACAGAUGGGAGCUUGCUCCCUGAUGUUAGCGGCGGACGGGUGAGUAACACGUGGGUAACCUGCCUGUAAGACUGGGAUAACUCCGGGAAACCGGGGCUAAUACCGGAUGGUUGUUUGAACCGCAUGGUUCAAACAUAAAAGGUGGCUUCGGCUACCACUUACAGAUGGACCCGCGGCGCAUUAGCUAGUUGGUGAGGUAACGGCUCACCAAGGCAACGAUGCGUAGCCGACCUGAGAGGGUGAUCGGCCACACUGGGACUGAGACACGGCCCAGACUCCUACGGGAGGCAGCAGUAGGGAAUCUUCCGCAAUGGACGAAAGUCUGACGGAGCAACGCCGCGUGAGUGAUGAAGGUUUUCGGAUCGUAAAGCUCUGUUGUUAGGGAAGAACAAGUACCGUUCGAAUAGGGCGGUACCUUGACGGUACCUAACCAGAAAGCCACGGCUAACUACGUGCCAGCAGCCGCGGUAAUACGUAGGUGGCAAGCGUUGUCCGGAAUUAUUGGGCGUAAAGGGCUCGCAGGCGGUUUCUUAAGUCUGAUGUGAAAGCCCCCGGCUCAACCGGGGAGGGUCAUUGGAAACUGGGGAACUUGAGUGCAGAAGAGGAGAGUGGAAUUCCACGUGUAGCGGUGAAAUGCGUAGAGAUGUGGAGGAACACCAAUGGCGAAGGCGACUCUCUGGUCUGUAACUGACGCUGAGGAGCGAAA